UGUGUGUUAGUGGAAGCGUCUGGAAAGGCGCGCGAUACAGGGUGACAGCCCCGUACACAAAAAUGCACAUGCUGUGAGCUCGAUGAGUAGGGCGGGACACGUGGUAUCCUGUCUGAAUAUGGGGGGACCAUCCUCCAAGGCUAAAUACUCCUGACUGACCGAUAGUGAACCAGUACCGUGAGGGAAAGGCGAAAAGAACCCCGGCGAGGGGAGUGAAAAAGAACCUGAAACCGUGUACGUACAAGCAGUGGGAGCACAGAGCAAUCUGUGUGACUGCGUACCUUUUGUAUAAUGGGUCAGCGACUUAUAUUCUGUAGCAAGGUUAACCGAAUAGGGGAGCCGAAGGGAAACCGAGUCUUAACUGGGCGUUAAGUUGCAGGGUAUAGACCCGAAACCCGGUGAUCUAGCCAUGGGCAGGUUGAAGGUUGGGUAACACUAACUGGAGGACCGAACCGACUAAUGUUGAAAAAUUAGCGGAUGACUUGUGGCUGGGGGUGAAAGGCCAAUCAAACCGGGAGAUAGCUGGUUCUCCCCGAAAGCUAUUUAGGUAGCGCCUCGUGAAUUCAUCUCCGGGGGUAGAGCACUGUUUCGGCAAGGGGGUCAUCCCGACUUACCAACCCGAUGCAAACUGCGAAUACCGGAGAAUGUUAUCACGGGAGACACACGGCGGGUGCUAACGUCCGUCGUGAAGAGGGAAACAACCCAGACCGCCAGCUAAGGUCCCAAAGUCAUGGUUAAGUGGGAAACGAUGUGGGAAGGCCCAGACAGCCAGGAUGUUGGCUUAGAAGCAGCCAUCAUUUAAAGAAAGCGUAAUAGCUCACUGGUCGAGUCGGCCUGCGCGGAAGAUGUAACGGGGCUAAACCAUGCACCGAAGCUGCGGCAGCGACGCUGAUGCGUUGUUGGGUAGGGGAGCGUUCUGUAAGCCUGUGAAGGUGUGCUGUGAGGCAUGCUGGAGGUAUCAGAAGUGCGAAUGCUGACAUAAGUAACGAUAAAGCGGGUGAAAAGCCCGCUCGCCGGAAGACCAAGGGUUCCUGUCCAACGUUAAUCGGGGCAGGGUGAGUCGACCCCUAAGGCGAGGCCGAAAGGCGUAGUCGAUGGGAAACAGGUUAAUAUUCCUGUACUUGGUGUUACUGCGAAGGGGGGACGGAGAAGGCUAUGUUGGCCGGGCGACGGUUGUCCCGGUUUAAGCGUGUAGGCUGGUUUUCCAGGCAAAUCCGGAAAACUAAGGCUGAGGCGUGAUGACGAGGCACUACGGUGCUGAAGCAACAAAUGCCCUGCUUCCAGGAAAAGCCUCUAAGCAUCAGGUAACAUCAAAUCGUACCCCAAACCGACACAGGUGGUCAGGUAGAGAAUACCAAGGCGCUUGAGAGAACUCGGGUGAAGGAACUAGGCAAAAUGGUGCCGUAACUUCGGGAGAAGGCACGCUGAUAUGUAGGUGAAGUCCCUCGCGGAUGGAGCUGAAAUCAGUCGAAGAUACCAGCUGGCUGCAACUGUUUAUUAAAAACACAGCACUGUGCAAACACGAAAGUGGACGUAUACGGUGUGACGCCUGCCCGGUGCCGGAAGGUUAAUUGAUGGGGUCAGCGCAAGCGAAGCUCUUGAUCGAAGCCCCGGUAAACGGCGGCCGUAACUAUAACGGUCCUAAGGUAGCGAAAUUCCUUGUCGGGUAAGUUCCGACCUGCACGAAUGGCGUAAUGAUGGCCAGGCUGUCUCCACCCGAGACUCAGUGAAAUUGAACUCGCUGUGAAGAUGCAGUGUACCCGCGGCAAGACGGAAAGACCCCGUGAACCUUUACUAUAGCUUGACACUGAACAUUGAGCCUUGAUGUGUAGGAUAGGUGGGAGGCUUUGAAGUGUGGACGCCAGUCUGCAUGGAGCCGACCUUGAAAUACCACCCUUUAAUGUUUGAUGUUCUAACGUUGACCCGUAAUCCGGGUUGCGGACAGUGUCUGGUGGGUAGUUUGACUGGGGCGGUCUCCUCCUAAAGAGUAACGGAGGAGCACGAAGGUUGGCUAAUCCUGGUCGGACAUCAGGAGGUUAGUGCAAUGGCAUAAGCCAGCUUGACUGCGAGCGUGACGGCGCGAGCAGGUGCGAAAGCAGGUCAUAGUGAUCCGGUGGUUCUGAAUGGAAGGGCCAUCGCUCAACGGAUAAAAGGUACUCCGGGGAUAACAGGCUGAUACCGCCCAAGAGUUCAUAUCGACGGCGGUGUUUGGCACCUCGAUGUCGGCUCAUCACAUCCUGGGGCUGAAGUAGGUCCCAAGGGUAUGGCUGUUCGCCAUUUAAAGUGGUACGCGAGCUGGGUUUAGAACGUCGUGAGACAGUUCGGUCCCUAUCUGCCGUGGGCGCUGGAGAACUGAGGGGGGCUGCUCCUAGUACGAGAGGACCGGAGUGGACGCAUCACUGGUGUUCGGGUUGUCAUGCCAAUGGCACUGCCCGGUAGCUAAAUGCGGAAGAGAUAAGUGCUGAAAGCAUCUAAGCACGAAACUUGCCCCGAGAUGAGUUCUCCCUGACUCCUUGAGAGUCCUGAAGGAACGUUGAAGACGACGACGUUGAUAGGCCGGGUGUGUAAGCGCAGCGAUGCGUUGAGCUAACCGGUACUAAUGAACCGUGAGGCUUAACCUUAC
rnacentral:rRNA from 1 species